GACAGAGGAGGCAAGCGUUAUCCGGAAUUAUUGGGCGUAAAGAGUCCGUAGGUGGUUUGGCAAGUAUGGGGUUAAAGCCCGGAGCCUAACUCCGGAUCGGCCCUGGAAACUGCCAGACUAGAGUAAGGUGGGGGUUGCGGGAAUUCCCGGUGUAGCGGUGAAAUGCGUAGAUAUCGGGAAGAACACCAGUAGCGUAAGCGCGCAACUGAGCCAUUACUGACACUGAGGGACGAAAGCUAGGGGAGCGAAUGGG
rnacentral:rRNA from 1 species